AACGAACGCUGGCGGCAGGCUUAACACAUGCAAGUCGAGUGCCCCGCAAGGGGAGCGGCAGACGGGUGAGUAACGCGUGGGAACGUACCCUUUACUACGGAAUAGCUCCGGGAAACUGGAAUUAAUACCGUAUGUGCCCUUCGGGGGAAAGAUUUAUCGGUAAAGGAUCGGCCCGCGUUGGAUUAGCUAGUUGGCGGGGUAAAGGCCUACCAAGGCGACGAUCCAUAGCUGGUCUGAGAGGAUGAUCAGCCACAUUGGGACUGAGACACGGCCCAAACUCCUACGGGAGGCAGCAGUGGGGAAUAUUGGACAAUGGGCGCAAGCCUGAUCCAGCCAUGCCGCGUGAGUGAUGAAGGCCUUAGGGUUGUAAAGCUCUUUCACCGAUGAAGAUAAUGACGGUAGUCGGAGAAGAAGCCCCGGCUAACUUCGUGCCAGCCGCCGCGGUAAAAC
rnacentral:rRNA from 1 species